AAGAGAGAUUUAAGGUAAGACGUGUUCGAGAAUACGUCCGGUAGAUUUUGCACCCUGCCGGUUGCUGCUCCUUCAUCCUUUUUGCCAGUGCGUAUGGAAAACUUCAUGGAAAACAGAGCCUACAAGGAAUUAACUUCAGCAAACCGGUACUGGUCAUAAAAUCAAAUUCGCUCGCAGUCAACGGCGAUGUCUGCACGUGUUUCUGUCAGCGAAUGAAGCGGUUUAUGGCCCUGACAUUCGAAUGAUUUUUUCCAGACACCGCAUCGCAACGGUACCGUUGCAUUGUAGGUGUUUCAAAACCCCGGUGUGUAGGUAUUCCGAAGCGACGAGUCUGUUUUCCGAGGGACCAUUGUGACCGAUCUUCCACUUGAGAUUGGUCACACGUGUUAGACACGUCCUCGCGACUUUUCGAACCGGUCGCUUUCACCGAUGUUUAAUUCCGAGAUUUCUUUCUUGUUUUUUUACGAGAAGGUCGACGAAAUAACGUGCUAGGAUACACCUAGUGCAUCGGGAAUGUUUACAUAGGUUCGGAUUCUGUAUACAUUCCAGAUUGGUGCUUGGAUACCUAUCUAUGUACAUAAAUUAGAAGUUACCACAAUGGGUUUGCAGCCACUCGAGAAAAUGAUGAGUGCAUUUUCCGAGGUUCACUAUACGUUUGUAUAGGUUCAGACAAAUGUAUUUUUGUCUGAAGUAUUGAUAAAAUAAGGAGCUCGAAUGUUAUUUGUUUGGUUUAGCAUCGAAGACUUCUUCGUUCAUCCUUCAUUGACUGUAAAUUCCUCUUGUGUUCUUCUUGCUUUCUGCAACCUCUAUAUAUUUAGGCAUUAUUUUUAUUUUGGGACAUUUUCUUACUCUAUACCAUGUUUUGUUCUCUUCCGUACUGUUUCUAUCUUUUUGCGAGGGUUCGUUAUUGCGACACUUUUUUCUCUGGCCAAUAGGAUCUUCGACCGAGGAGGCUCAACCCAAAUAUAUUGAAGUAAAUCGCAUAUGAACGUCACCGAAUUGCUUGAUGACGAAAUUUGAUGUAGCAAAUGUGAACUGUGUUUUAUUCUAAUAUUUACAUUGUUCUCUCUGCUUAACGUUUGGAUACUGCACUAAAUUCGCAUGAUUUACAUUGAAAAUAGCUCUCAUAAAAUAUUGGAAGCGUGUCUCAACAUUGAGAACCACUGAUUCGAGUAAACGGUUAAUGGUUGCGUAGCUGGAAAUUUCAGGCAUUACAGUAUUCGAGUUCGAAGCGUGGAUAGUGUUUAAAUGUUCUCGCGCGAACGUAAUUUGUAUAGGAUAUAAAUUGUGAAAAAACCAUUGAAUAGUGAUGUGCGAAUGAAAAAUAGAAUACAAUAAUCAUUUCGGAUAAUUGGCGAAGAGUUAUGUGAAACAAGAAUUAUUUAUGCAGGAUCGCUAGAGAAUAUUCUAUUGAAUGGUAAUUGAAUGGCAACUGUACUAAUGGGUUCAAUGUGACACUAUUCGGAUUGAAAUAUUCUUUCUACGUACCGUAGAAAUUGUUUAAAUAAGACGGAGCAUCAACAAACUUCUGGGAGGAGGCCUUCCAUAUUUUUAACACUACAUACAUAUUCAUUGUAUCGAUAUAUCGAUAGAAGCGCUUACGAUUCUCGUUCGCUCUGUCGCGGCACUUGAAUGUUCAUGGCGUGUCUCAGAAGAGGGUGAAUUAUACGUACGCAAGUUCUUUUUAAUAAGUGAUUGUCUACGGUGCUUGAACGUUUUCUCUGAAGAACAAUAAUAGCAGCGAGGCUUAGUGAUUGAAGUACGAUAUAAAUUAGCAAAAAGAUUAUAAGGCUCGGUGAUAACAUAUUUUAAUUUCUAUUGAUAAGAAACUAUGGGGCAACCAAAGAAGGAUUUAUAUACUCAGAAUGUGAAUAAUAAAAAGUCUAACUCAAAAGUCCACGGAAAUAUUUACAAUGAUGAAUAUAGAUCACACAAACAAUGUGAAACUGAUUUAGCUUUUAUUAAAGUUAUUGCGCUACAAAAAUGUCCAUCUUCAAAAAACAGUUCAUACAAUACUUCUUCAGAACAGUUUUUACCAAUGAAUUGUCCAUGUCAUAAAUAUAGAAUAAAAUAUAAAGUUUGUACAUAUUGCAAUCAUAAAGUGAUGGUACAUUCAGAUUCCAAUAGCUCAGAUGAAAAUUCUGGGGCAAACAAGUUUAUUUCCACAGUAAAUAAUAUAGAGAAUAGAUAUAUGAAAAAAAAGACUAAAUCUUCAAAAGAAAAGAAUAAG